rnacentral:rRNA from 1 species
UACGUAGGGUGCGAGCGUUAAUCGGAAUUACUGGGCGUAAAGCGUGCGCAGGCGGUUCGUUAAGUCAGAUGUGAAAGCCCCGGGCUCAACCUGGGAACUGCAUUUGAAACUGGCGGGCUUGAGUGUGGCAGAGGGGGGUAGAAUUCCACGUGUAGCAGUGAAAUGCGUAGAUAUGUGGAGGAACACCGAUGGCGAAGGCAGCCCCCUGGGUCAAGACUGACGCUCAUGCACGAAAGCGUGGGGAGCAAACAGG